rnacentral:rRNA from 3 species
AGGGAUCAUUACCGAGUUUACAACUCCCAAACCCCUGUGAACAUACCUUAAUGUUGCCUCGGCGGAUCAGCCCGCGCCCCGUAAAACGGGACGGCCCGCCAGAGGACCCAAACUCUAAUGUUUCUUAUUGUAACUUCUGAGUAAAACAAACAAAUAAAUCAAAACUUUCAACAACGGAUCUCUUGGUUCUGGCAUCGAUGAAGAACGCAGCAAAAUGCGAUAAGUAAUGUGAAUUGCAGAAUUCAGUGAAUCAUCGAAUCUUUGAACGCACAUUGCGCCCGCUGGUAUUCCGGCGGGCAUGCCUGUUCGAGCGUCAUUUCAACCCUCAAGCCCCCGGGUUUGGUGUUGGGGAUCGGCUCUGCCUUCUGGCGGUGCCGCCCCCGAAAUACAUUGGCGGUCUCGCUGCAGCCUCCAUUGCGUAGUAGCUAACACCUCGCAACUGGAACGCGGCGCGGCCAUGCCGUAAAACCCCAACUUCUGAAUGUUGACCUCGGAUCAGGUAGGAAUACCCGCUGAACUUAA